GAACGGUCGGCAGGCGAUCCGCGUCGGUCGCGCGAGGUGGUAUGGUUCCCCAGAGGCCGGUUCUUGUGCUGCCUACCCCUUCAGGGGAAGCGGGCCACUUGAUGUAAGCCUCCAUCCGGCGCCCUCCAACGGGCGCAGGAGGACAACGGAGCACCCCCCGCGUUCCACCGAGCCUUCGCCGGUCGCGUGGCGCGCGGGGACGUGCGAUGCUCUCGGACCCAGCGAACGCCGUGGGCGAGGACUCACGUCCCAGUCCCGAUAGAAGCUUCGGUAUAAUGCAUGACGGCCGCACCCGGCCCCCGACCGCCCCUGCGGCGCGUGGGCGAGGCGCGGCGUCGCGGAGGAAUGCUACCUGGUUGAUCCUGC
rnacentral:misc_RNA from 1 species